rnacentral:rRNA from 1 species
AUACGUAGGGGGCGAGCGUUGUCCGGAAUGACUGGGCGUAAAGGGCGCGUAGGCGGCUGAAUAAGUUAGGAGUGAAAUUCCAGUUUUCAAGGCUGGAACUGCUUUUAAUACUGUUGAGCUUGAGUGCAGAAGAGGUAAGCGGAAUUCCCAGUGUAGCGGUGCAAUGCGUAGAGAUUGGGAAGAACACCAGUGGCGAAGGCGGCUUACUGGGCUGUAACUGACGCUGAGGCGCGAAAGCGUGGGGAGCGAACAGGAUUAGAUACCCUGGUAGUCCACGCUGUAAACGAUGAAUGCUAGGUGUAGGGGGUAUCGACCCCUCCUGUGCCGGAGUGAACGCAAUAAGCAUUCCGCCUGGGGAGUACGGCCGCAAGGUUGAAACUCAAAGGAAUUGGCGGGG